GGGAGAAACUUGAAGAUUGAAGCAAUUAGGAGCUAAAGUGAAGCCCAAGUUUGAAUUGAUCAUAACCUAAGUUGAUGUUGAAUGACGUUGUGCAGGUUUAGUUGCUUGGUGAGUUAUUGUGCUUGGUGGAUAUCUGGAGCUUUCUCCGAUAUCGGUGUUUAGAAUUAGUCGGCUCUGAUCUAGGCUUCGUUGUGUCGGUCUAGAUUAGGU
rnacentral:lncRNA from 1 species